rnacentral:rRNA from 1 species
CCUACGGGAGGCUGCAGUGGGGAAUAUUGGACAAUGGGCGCAAGCCUGAUCCAGCAAUGCCGCGUGAGUGAAGAAGGCCUUAGGGUUGUAAAGCUCUUUCGGCGGGGACGAUGAUGACGGUACCCGCAGAAGAAGCCCCGGCUAACUCCGUGCCAGCAGCCGCGGUAAUACGGAGGGGGCAAGCGUUGUUCGGAGUCACUGGGCGUAAAGGGCGCGUAGGCGGUGGAGCGAGUCAGGCGUGAAAGCCCCGGGCUUAACCUGGGAAUUGCGCUUGAUACUGCUUUGCUUGAGACCGGGAGAGGAUGGCGGAAUUCCCAGUGUAGAGGUGAAAUUCGUAGAUAUUGGGAAGAACACCGGUGGCGAAGGCGGCCAUCUGGACCGGAUCUGACGCUGAGGCGCGAAAGCGUGGGGAGCAAACAGGAUUAGAUACCCCGGUAGUC